AGAUGUCAUGGAUGGGGGCUUCUUGAGAAAAAAGUGACAGGAGAGAUCAUAGAAGCAACUUGUGACCUUCUGCUGGUUUCCCCAUUGACUAUGCUUAUGGAAAACUGGCAGGAAUCAUGUGACCAUGGAUUGCUGAAACCAUCAUAAUUGCAAGCCAGUUGCCAAGUACCUGAACUGUGAUUACAGUGGAAAUGCUGCGAUGACCACAAUUUCAAGGAUCAGUUAUUGAAGAAAUCAAUCAGAAAUCAAUCCAUGUGGCCCCUGGACUGUUGGCCUUCGAAAAUAAAUCACUGAAACAGAGGUUCCCUUGAUUGGUUGGAGCAGGUAGAACAAUUAACGCUAAAACCUGCAAAGAUGAAGUCAGAUGAAGUCUCAGAAUGAACAAAGACGUGCAACAAAUUCAAAGGGAACAAAAAAAGUUUCUUUCAACAUAUGAUCAAAGCUAUCACAAUCUUUAACUGGUUGUAGAAGACUUGGAAAAUCUCAACAUACACACAGUGGUAGGAAACACGGAAAGAAAAUCACAAAUGAUAACCAUGUGACCAUAGGAAUCCAUGACAUUAUAAUUGCAAGCCAGACCUCAACCACUUGGGUCAUGAUAAUAUGACUGCAGGAAUGCUGCAGCAGCUGGAACUUCUAAGACCAGUUGAAAGUGCUAUUUAUUCAGCAUCAUUGCAAGUUCGAAUGUGCACUGAAUGAAUGAAUGUUCAUUAAGUGAAGACCACCUGUAAU